AUCAGGCUGCGCUUGCGGCCAGGCCGGCGCCGUCUUCACACGAUGAAGCGGCGAACCCGGUCCGACGCCCGUCGAUAACCUGGCGUCACG
rfam:Caulobacterales bacterium RIFOXYA1_FTLL_67_7 rifoxya1_full_scaffold_11531_curated, whole genome shotgun sequence.